AAAUUGGCCAUUGCACUUUACAAGGGAACAAAAAAAGUACAUUACUAAAAUAUUUUUUAUUCUACCGUCGCUGUGUUUUCUAGUUAGUACUGUUCGUGCUAUCACAACAAAUAUCAGCACUAAUAAUAUGUAAUGGCAGUGUUGGCUUUAAAAGCACACUUCGGCAGUGACUCGACUCUAAUAGCUAAAACAACCAUCUGUAUGUCAAAAAGGAAACACAACAGCAGCAGCAGCGGCGACAUCACAUGAGCUAUAUUUAUCGUUGACCCCGCUGGCUUGCCGGCGUAGUGCAAUGUCAGUUUACUCCAGCUAACGUCCUGUCUCAUCAUACGUACAUCCUGUCAUUAUGUCUUGGGUGCUUUUAAAAACGUGGCUUCUUGUGACAGCGGGUCACUGCGCAGGUUACAUCAUAGUUUAAAAGAUGAUGGCUGACAUGGUUGGUGGAAGUUGGCUUUGGUGAGGAAACAAGGCGGGGAAAUGGUUUGUUCUCCUAGCCGCCUGUUUUUUCCUACUGAUGCAAUGUGAAGGUGUUGUCCUGAAAGAGGACGACUUUGAGGAAUGAGGAAAAUUGAAUGAUAAUAAUGAUAGAGACUUCGGAGGAGGGCCGAAACAAUGUUUCCAACACGGCGCAGUGGGGAGUAAAAAAAAGUAUUUUAUCACGCCAGAGCUGCCUGCAGGAUGCUCAUGUGACUGAUGGAAGUGAAAUCCAAUGAAGACAAGAACUGGGCAGAAGAUGAGCAACUUACAAACACGCAGACACAUCAGCCAACCCUCCCAAAAGACGCGGGAACAACUGUUCGCCAACUGCGCCGCGGAGGAAAAAAAAAGGAUGAACGAUGCUCUUUUCCUACUAAUGAGCUGCACGGAGUGACAGAUUACAUCGAGCAUGCCUCCUCCCAUAACCACCAACCACCCUUCCGUCUUCUCCGGGACUAUUUUUGUUCUCCUCACAGGUUUCCAGAGGGGAGAUUUUUCCUGGGGACAAAGGCGACGAGUGUGUUGUGCGAGGAUGGUGCCAAGAAGGUGACUCACCCAUGACUUUCACGAA